rnacentral:rRNA from 1 species
GACGAACGUUGGCGGCGUGCUUAAUACAUGCAAGUCAACUGAAGCAGUGGUAGCAAUAUCGCUGUGGAGGUGGCGCACGGGUGAGUAACACGUAGGUAAUCUGCCUUCAGGUCUGGCAUAACUCCGGGAAACCGGGGCUAAUAGCAGAUGAUGCAGCGGCUCGACAUCGAGACAGUUGUUAAAGCUAUGGCGCCUGAAGAUGAGCCUGCGUCUGAUUAGCUAGUUGGCGGGGUAACGGCCCACCAAGGCAACGAUCGGUAGCUGGUCUGAGGGGAUGAUCAGCCACACUGGAACUGAGACACGGUCCAGACUCCUACGGGAGGCAGCAGUAAGGAAUAUUGCUCAAUGGGAGAAAUCCUGAAGCAGCAACGCCGCGUGAGGGACGAAGGGCUUUUGCUUGUAAACCUCUGUAGUGAGAGAAAAAAAUCCCAAUCUUUGGGACAUGAUGGUAUCUCAAAAGUAAGCCCCGGCUAACUACGUG